CAGAAGAAGAAACAGAUCUCCUAUGGUUUCUUAUCGUACUCGAUGAACGCUUUUGUACAAGCUCCUCUUAAUCGGUGACUCUGAGUUUGUUGAUUAGAAGCAACCUCUGCCGGACGGUUGUUGAGGAGAUGGAAAUGUGAAAGGUGAUACCAGGUGUGUUGAUAGGUGAUACCAGUACAAAAGUUUAGGACAUCACCAAGAUCUCCCGUCAUCUCAAUUUGAGCAAUUAAACGUAGUUUUGUUAAUCACUAUCGGUGUUUUAAUUACUAGCAGUGCUUAAAAAGUUUUUCAUCAGCUGUU